GACGAACGCUGGCGGCGUGCUUAACACAUGCAAGUCGAACGAUGAAGCCUUUCGGGGUGGAUUAGUGGCGAACGGGUGAGUAACACGUGGGUAAUCUGCCUUGCACUCUGGGAUAAGCCUGGGAAACUGGGUCUAAUACCGGAUAUGACUACUUCACGCAUGUGGGGUGGUGGAAAGUUCUGGCGGUGUGAGAUGAACCCGCGGCCUAUCAGCUUGUUGGUGGGGUGAUGGCCUACCAAGGCGACGACGGGUAGCCGGCCUGAGAGGGCGACCGGUCACACUGGGACUGAGACACGGCCCAGACUCCUACGGGAGCAGCAGUGGGGAAUAUUGCACAAUGGGCGAAAGCCUGAUGCAGCGACGCCGCGUGAGGGAUGACGGCCUCGGUGUAA
rnacentral:rRNA from 1 species